rnacentral:rRNA from 1 species
GACGAACGCUGGCGGCGUGCUUAACACAUGCAAGUCGAACGGUGAAGCGCCUUCCUUUUUGGUGGGUGUGGAUGAGUGGCGAACGGGUGAGUAACACGUGAGUAACCUGCCCCCUUCUUCUGGAUAACCGCAUGAAAGUGUGGCUAAUACGGGAUAUUCUGGGUCUGUCGCAUGAUGGGUCUGGGAAAGAUAUUGUUUCGGUGGGGGAUGGGCUCGCGGCCUAUCAGCUUGUUGGUGGGGUGAUGGCCUACCAAGGCGGUGACGGGUAGCCGGCCUGAGAGGGUGGACGGUCACACAGGGACGGAGACACGGACCAGACUCCUACGGGAGGCAGCAGUGGGGAAUAGUGCACGAUGGGCGCAAGCCUGAUGCAGCGACGCCGCGGGAGGGAUGGAGGCCUUCGGGUUGUGAACCUCUUUCGCCAGUGAAGCAGGCCUGCCUCGUUUGUGGGUGGGUUGACGGUAGCUGGAUAAGAAGCGCCGGCUAACUACGUG